rnacentral:lncRNA from 1 species
UUCUUAUAAUCGAGGAAGAAGCAAAGAGGAAUCACUACAGAGGGUGACUAGAAGUGGGAAAAUAACGGCUUGAAGAAUCUAAAACAAGGUGGAAUCUUUAUAGAAACUCAGCAAAUCAGGUAAUAUGCAAAAGCCCUACUUUUUUCUUUCUUUAAUAGACUUUUUAGCCUUUUUGUGUGAAUUUGGAUGUCCGAACUUGUAGUUUGGGUUCUUAAAUGUGUAUUUCUAUAGCUGUGAUGGAAUACAUUGCAUGUGGUCCUUAUGUUGGUUUACUGUUGGAUUGAUUGCGACCAAAUUUUGUUAUUUGUCCUUUUCAUGCUAUAAUUGGAUUGUUUGUAGCUUUCUUUACAAGAUUCUAUUGUGUUGAACAUGGGUCGGUGUCUGGUAGUGUGUUUUAAGCUUAUUAUUACGAAUUAUAGUAUGUUAACUAAGUUCAAUAAAGGUACUUUUGUGGUCCCUCACACGUAUUAUUAUUUUUUCGUCGCAUACCAAUGUGGUCAUCGCAAUUGCAAAAUAUGUUCUUAUUCGAAGUCUAUUAUGGGGGCCAUUUUGUAUAUAAUCCAGGACUAACAUAUGUGGUUUGGAAUAUAAAAUAUUUCAAUGAUAUUGACCCAAAUUAUAUGUCAAGAUUUGAGAUUUGGGGGAUGCUAAAAGGACUACAACUGCCCAUAAAUACCUAAGUUUGAUAUAAAAUGCCAAAUGAUGAAUUUGCCUUACUAAAAGUGAAGCAGCAGUCAUGAAAAUGUUUGGGAUGUUUAGGGAUGAACCAUACAUUCAUAUCUAUGUCGGAGAGUUAAAUGAUAAUGGGGAUGUAGAAAAAAAAAUAAUGAGGAUGAGUAAGAUGGUAAUGAAACUAUAGGUAAUGGCAAUAUGAAUGCUAAUUAGGGAGUUGGGAAUGACAAUGGUAGUUUAGGGGCUGAUGGGUUAAUUAAAAUCUUGAACCAGAGAUUAUGAUGUGAAUGAAUCAGAAACAGAAUCUGAUGAAUCAUACGCACCUAAAAGUGAGCAAUCUUCUGAAUAUGACUCAAACUUUGAUUAUUUCUUAGAUGGGGACACAUUAAGUGAUGGCUAUGAUAUUGAUGAUGAUCCUAAUGAGGUAACUAGUGGGUUGGAUAACAAUAUUAAUUUAGGACAAUACCAAUAAUAUGCUGAGUUAAUUAGUUAUCAGUAUAGAGCUUUUGAUGAGAUUAGGAAAGAGAGUAAGUUCGUUGAGCCUGAAAAUAUUGUUGAUGCUAAAGUACUAGAAACUGUCAUUCAAUCCUCUGAUGAUGAAAAUAGAGAACAAUUUCUUGAGUUUAAUGAGGAAAGAGACAUGGCUGAUCCUAAAUUUGUGGUAGGCCUCCUUUUUCACAACCACACGUGUUCAAGAAGGCAAUUCAGAUAUAUUCCAUCCUUAGAGGUUUGGAGUUGAAGUUCCAAAAAAAUGAUAGUAACAAAAUCAUUGCAAUAUGUAAAAGAGAAUGUGGUUGGAGGAUAUAUGCAAGUUAUUAUAGGAAAACUAAAACAUUGUAGGUCAAGAGUAUAAAGGGCCCCCUCAUAGAUAUCAUUGGUCUUAUAAGAAUGUUAGUGUCAAUUCUAGAUGGUUGGCUGAAUACUGCAAAAAGGAAUUGGCUGAUGAUCCUGACUGGGGACUUAAGGGAUUUCAAAAGACAACUAAAAAAAAAGUUCAAAUUAAGAGUUUUUAGGUGGAAGGUGUAUAGGACCAAGAAACAUGCACUUUUUAAAAUGUUGAGGGAUCAUAAGAAACAGUAUUCCAGACUUAGAAAUUAUUGUGCAACCAUUAUGCUGAAAAAUCCUAGUUCUGCAGCCUAUGUAAUGAUAGAAAUUGUUCCAACCUCUGUCAAUCCUAUAUUUCAGGAAAUGUUUGUUAUGUUUGGGCACAAAAGGAUGGAUUUAUCAGUGGCUGCAGACCAGUUAUAGGUUUAGAUGCUUGCCAUCUCAAAGGAAGAUUUGGGAGACAUCUAAUACAUGUUGUUGAGAGGGAUGAAACUAAUUAGAUGUAUCCUAUAGUAAUGGCAUAUGUGGAAUCUGAAUGUAAGCAAAACUAGCAUUGGUUUCUAGAACUUCUGGCUACUCAUAUUGAAUCAACAGCUAACAUGAAUUGGGUGUUCAUUUUUUACAGACAAAAGGUAAACUUGCCAUUUAUUUUUUCCAACAUUCAUAUAUUAGUUUAUUACUACUAUAAAAUUAAACCCAAUCUGAUUGAUAGUGUUGCUGUUUUGUAGGAUCUGGUAGAGACAUUUGAUAUGUUGUUUUCUAGGGUGGGAACAUAGGUUCUGUGUUAAACAUAUGUAUGCCAAUUUCAAACUUAGGUUUAAGGACAAAGCACUUAGAGAUAUCAUGUGGGCUGCUGCGAGGGCAUAUGAGACAGAUGGUUGGACACAAAAGAAGACAGAACUCCAGGUUGCUCGUAGGGAAGCUUAUGACUGGUUAAGUGCAAUUCCAGCUAAUCUUUGGUCAAGGUGUAUGUUCAAUCCAAGAUCAAAGUACGAUCUUUUGAGCAACAACAUUUGUAAAUCCUUAAACCAAUAUAUUAAGGAAGCAAGGGAGGAGCCAAUUUUAUCUAUGUUUGAUUAGAAAGUUUAUUAUGUGUAGAUACCUAGAAAAUAGAGAAUUCAUAUCUAAGGUCAAGGGAAAAAUUUGUCCAAGAAUCCAUGACAAGGUGGAGGAAAUUAAAGCACGAGCAGUGGAAUAUGAAGCUGUUCAAAUAGGUCAAGGCAUAUGGGAGAUCACAGGCUAUGCAAGACACAAAAUUAUUAACCUGAAUGUAAGAAUUUAUACUUGUAGAGAAUGGGAUAUAACUGGUGUUCCUUGUGUACAUGCAUGUGUAGCAAUUUUAGAUUUUGAUCAAGAACCAGGAGACCUUGUCCAUCCAUACUAUAGUGUAGAGUACUAUUGUGGAGCUUAUAAGAGUAUGAUGGUUCCUAUUCCAGAAGACAGCCUAUGGGUUCAAAUAGGUGGAUUCCCAUUCAACCACCAAAACUAAGGAGAAGACCUAACAGACCAAGAAAGCUAUAAAGAAAAAGUGUAGAUGAGCUAGUGAAUGGUGAUGUGGUAUCCAGAAAGGGUACUAUAGCCCACUGUAGCAACUGUAAUACGCCUGGUCGUAAUAAGAAGACAUGCAAACAACCAAGACAGGUUGUGUAUGAUGCCUUAAAUUGUGUUUAAUAAUUUCUUUACUAGUUUAUUUACUAAUUUGGUUACUUUUGUAGGAUGAAGGUGUCACUCAAACAAGAAGGGCAAGAGGUACAGCCCCACAAAAAAAUGUUGGUGGAAGACUGAGAACAGUUAAUGUGGACACACAGAGUACUAAUGUCAAUGUAACCAGUAGUAAUGGAAGAGGUAAUGGAAGGGGAAUAGGUAAUGGUAGGGAAAAAGUAAUGGUAGGGGAGUGGAAUCAUCAGCUAGAGGUGGGGGAAGAGGGAAAAGAGGGAGAGGUGCAUUUUCAGGAUGUCCUCCACCGCUUUCUGGAUUUGGAAAUUAGAAUGGUAUUGACAUGUCCGAUGACAGAAACUUCAUCCCAACUGAUGUGGUAAUCUAAUAUUAUCUUAGGCAUUAUGUAUAUUUUUAGACUUUGUCAUUUUUAACUUGUACUAAUGUCUUUCUCAUUAAUGGCAAGUGGCAAGGGUGGCCAUGCAACCUCAUAACAUUUUUGAAGCCCGGACAGUUCAAAUGGUAGGUAUUUAAGCUGUAUUUUUGUACACUUUUGCUUAAUUUCAGCUACAUUUUAACUAACUAAUGUUAUAUGUAACUAGUGGACAAAUGAUCCCCUGACUGGAGGCUCAAAAUUGAGCACUAAUACCAAUGCUAAUGAUAGUAGUAUACCCAUUACUCAAGUAUAUAUUGUUAUUGCAGUUCAUAUACAAUUCACAGGCAAGAUAAAGUAUAUAUACAUGACCAAUAUCUUGUUUUUAUUUGUACCAGAUCCAAAGGCAUUCAACAAGAUUUGGUGAUAUUUUGUUCUCCAGUUAAUCUUCCAGCACUAGAACAUGUGUACACCAAAACUCUCAGGUACCACCUAAUAAAGGUUCAUCUAACUAUUAGGAUGAUAAUAUAGCCCGUAAAGGAUAUAUUCCUCUUUAUAAUGGAUACAUACUUUUGAAGAAUUUAGACAACAGAUAUGGUCUUUUUUGUUUGGUUGAACACUAGAAUAUGAUAUUUUGGUAUUUUGUAUUAGUAAGGUGAAAGAUACUCUUCCUGUUAGUUUAUGCAGUAUGCUUUAUAGUAUUUCAUCAAUGAACUAUGGAUUGGUUUAUGAAGUUACUACCUUUGCUCUUUCUAUUGUUAUGCUGCUUAUUUUUUCUAUAGUGCUUUCUUUUUUUCCCUAACAUGAAACCAACACUGUGGUGCUUUUUACAACAAACCAUAAUUUUAUACUAAUUUAAAAGAUUCAUAUUACUUGGUAUUCAUAGCAAUAGGACCGUCAAUAGGGCUGGACUAGCCUGAGCUCGGCUCGUUUGGCCCGACAAAAGCCCGAUGAGCCCGACCUUUUAGUGAAUCGGUCUGAGUUUGAACCUAAAAAUUAGGUUAGAAUUAAAUAUGAACCGAGUUUGGGCCUUAUUAGGCUCAAACCCGAUAUAGGUUCGGUCCUUUAAUUACCUAUAUAUAUAAUAUUUAUAUUUUGAUAUUACGUAUAAUUAUAUAUCCAAAUAUAUUAUUAUUAAAUACUAAAUUAUAUAAAUUAUAAAAUACAAAAAUACAUCUAAAGACUUUUCCAUGAGCUUUCUUAAGAGCCAAUAUUAGUAAUGCAUAACUGAAUCUCUAACUUUUCUUAUUAGUUGAGUAAAUUUUUGUGUUGGCUUGUUUGGAUAGAGUAUUAUUUAGAAUAAUUACUAUAGCACUUUUUGUGAUGGAUGUAUGUGAGAUAAAAAUGUGGUUGGAAAUAUAAAAGGUUGAUUGGAAAAUAUGUUUAUGAUGUAAGUAAAAUAUUAUUUGAAAUAAUAGUGUAUCCAAACAAACCCAAUAGGAUUUCUUUUUGGUCUACAAAUACAAAUCAUCAAGCAUGUUUGAAUUCAAAUCACAAGAUUAUAAAAAGUUUCAACUUUUAAAUAUGUAUUGGCUUAUGAUCGCAUGUUUUAUUACUAUUUUUCAUGCAUUUUGAACUAAUUAAAUAUAAAUAUUGUUGAAAAUUUUUUGAUUUAUAUACUUUUUAAGAACUAUUAUUUGUUCAUAUUUAUUUUUAAUAUUAUAGUCUUAUAAAUGUUAAAUUAGUUUUACAACUUAAUAGUUAUAGUAAUUGUAUUAAAAAAAUUAAAGAGUAAUAAGUGAGCUUGGACUAAAUGCAAUUAAAGCUCACAACCCGAAUAUUAUGUGAGUUGAGUAUGAGCUUUACAUUUAUGAACCCGAAACUCAUAGCCUGAAACCCGAAAAUGUUCCAAAUUAAAUGAGUUGAGUUUAAACUUAUGAAAGCCCGGCUCAUUAGGCUCGAUUGACAGGCCUACAUGGUAGGAAAUACAUUCGUUCAUUUUUCUUUUCUUUCAUUACUGCAAUUACAAUUACAAUAAGCACCACUACAAUUAGAGAUAUCAACGUUCUCCCUUUGGAGUCAGUUCUUCUUCUUUUUUUAAGAGCCACUUUAUACUUGGCCACUGUUUCUUGCAAUGACUGGACUAUAGUUUUGAAUUCUUCAUAUUUGGUCACCAGUUGGUUAUUUUGAAGCAUAAUGGCAGCUCUUGCAGUGUUCAUUUUUUCAUGUGCUCUUUGUAGCUGCUCAUUUUGUUGCUAUAAAUGGUUAAUCCUUGCCUGCAUUUCUUCCAUUUAGCCAUGAAAAUAUUCUCCAACUAGUUUUAUACCCAUUCGUUGAAUGAAAAUUGUCUAAAAAUAAUAAAUUAUUUAGUGUAGUUCAUAAAAAUAUUUUCAUAAAAUACAAAACUUAUUGUAUAAUCUAUUAUAACCUUUCUUAAAUACAUUGUUAUUAAAAAAUAGUCUUCUAAUGUAAAUUUAAACAUCUAAUUCAAUGAUUAAUAAUUCGAAAUGCACAAAAAAAAAAUCGACAAUAUGAUGACAUUCAAAAACUUGAAAAUAGGGAAGAUCAAAUCUUGGCUGAUCUUUUGUAAACAAAAGAAUGGCCAACCCGUUACCAAAACAUCAAUUUUGGUACUUAAUAUAAAUGGCUUAAAGGUUAAUGUGAAAAGAAAGAAGCCGAAUGAAAUAUUAAUAAAAGAUAAUAAUUCAGAAUCAAUCAAGUCAUAGGAACAUAGAAACCUUCUAAAUCUGUUCAUGGCUAAUAGAAACCAAAACAAAAACAUAAGAUGUAUUUUGCUAUUAAGUCAAAAACAUAAAAAAUAUAAAUUGUUUGAUGUAUAUUGUAUGACGUGAACUGCUGUAUGACAAUGAACUUGAUGCCUUGCCAUUUAUAUAAUCAAUGACACCUUCUUGUUUUUUAGAAGCUUUCUAUCAAAAUCUAAAAAAAAACAUUGAAAACUAUACAAAAUUUUUUUAACCCCAGAAACCCAGAAAAAAAAAAAAAUUAAUACGUUGUUGAAGACAAUUAAUAAAUUGUCAAAGGCAAUUAAAAAAUCGUGUGAAAACACAGUUUAAAAGGCCACUUCUAAAUCACUAACAAAAAAAAAAUAUUGUUCUACUUAAAUUGAAGAGUGAAUCCAUAAAUCGAAAUAACAAAUUAAUUACAAAAACCUUGCCAGAAAUAAAAAUCAAACUGUAACUUUUGAAGAGUUAGAAAAUUCAAAUUCAAUGAUCUAGCUAUGAAAAAAAUGUAGGAAAUUACAGACCACAUACAAGGAGCAUAAACAAAGUCCAAAUGCGGUCCUUGCAUUGAAGGAAAAAAAACGAAGUUCCAAAUCCGGUCCUUGCAUUGAAAAAAAAAAUUCCAAAAACAUUGUAGAAAAGUGUAAACAUCUGCACUGCUUGAUAAAGUGAUAAGUAAUAGAUCGAUAACCAUAUAUAUGAGUAAAAAUGUAGAGUAUUUUCGAUAGUGAUAAUCUGAUAAAGAUAAUCUAAUAUUUGAGUUGAUAUUUCGAACUUUUGAGUUGAAGAUGAGAGAGAGUUAAAAACAUAAUUCAAAAUUAUUUAUACUAAUCCCCUGGAAAUUUAGGCUUGAUGAUUAGGGUUAAGGGAAAAAAUGUGAGAGAAUGGAAGAGAUAAUUAUGAAAGAAUUAUCUAGAAUUGUAAAGUCAAGAGAAAAAAGAGAGAUAGAAUAGCGUAAGUUAUUAGGGGGUUAACUCAUAGAGUAUGUUGCAUCUACUUGCUAUAUCGAUAAGCCACAUGGGAAAGAGAUAAACUAAAAGGAUAAGAAUGAGAAUAAGACUUUAUUAUAUGUAUAUAUAUAUAUAUAUAUAUAUAUAUAUAUAUAUGAUUUCCAUUCCCUUUUUGCAUGUUUCAGGUUCUACCCCAUUUAAAAUACUUGCAUGCAUUAGUAUUCUAUUUUUAAAAAAAAUCCAAAAUUGGUGACUGUUAUUACCUUUGGUUCACUGAAAUUGUAUGAGAUUUGGACUUACCGAAUAUUUAGAACAUCCUAAGAAUUUUCUUCUUGGAUUGUGAACGGUCCAUGAAGUCCUUAGAGGUGCUAUUCAUACACACCUGCAUCUUGAGUUGAAGUUUGUUGCUUCAUAUGCAUUGCUUGAGUUGCAACUAUUUGAACUGUGUUUCAUGUGUGUAGAAGAAUUGUGCAUCUGUGAAAAAGAGGAAAUAAAAGGGGAAAAAUUAUGAGGAGAGGUGAUAGUACGUGGAGACAUUUAUAUUCAUUUGGAAAGAAGGCAAUUCUGUAAACAAAUUUCAACGGAUAAAAAGUGCAACCUACACGCUUUGUUUGACCGUCAAAUGUGUGAACGGUUGUUUUUUUAGUGUGCAAAGUGCCUAUAAACAUAAUUAGGGGUGUAUUGUGCAACAGUUAUGAAAGUUCAUGGGGGUUUUCUGCACUUAACCCUAAAACAUUUAGGGAUCAAACAAAAUAAUAGAAAAGUUUAUUAAACAUUCACUUCAUUUGAGAGAGUUGCUCUCGUAUUUGACCUUCCGUUUCUCUCUCUCUUUUUUUCUUUUCUGUUUCUCUCUUUUUCUUUUCUUGCAUUUUUUCGUCUUCUGUAUUAUUCCUUUUCUGAAUCUUCUUUUUCUUUUUCCCCCUCUUUCUUUAAUUUUUAAUCUUUGUCUUGUUUUCUUCCUUCACAAAAAUAAAAAAUCAUAUCAUCUUAUUAUUUACAUUCGUUUCCUUUAAUGCAUUUCAAGUUUUUUUUUAUUCAAAGCUUAAAUUAACAUUUCCUUUCCAUCCUCUGUCUCUCUUUCUUACUUUUUUCCUUUUAAUUUUUGAAUUUUGAUGUUAUAUAUGUAGUAAAUCUAUUUGGUAGAUGAAUUAAGCUUGAUUUUUAUUGUAUUUUUCUUCAAUAGAAUUGAGGAAAACAAAAAUGUCAAAAAUAGAAAGUCAGCAAAAAAAAUAAAAAGUGACUCAGAAAAAGAAAAACAAAAAAAUAGGUAUUCACCGAUUUUACCGAUUCUUGGUUAAACUUGACCUUUUACCGAGUUUGAUAGAAUUUUUGACUGGCAGAUAUUUGGGGGAUUUUUCUAUAAUGGAGACAGUACGGAUGUCUCCAGCAAGGGAAAAGCUGGCCAGAUGAAGCAUCCAUUGGCACCUGUCCAGCCACGGAAAUCAAGGCUGCAUGGAAACCGAAAGGAGAAUUGCUGAGCCGGUGUUGUUGCAGGCGCACAUGUUCCGGUUGGACUUCCACGUCAAACCAGAUGGCGAGAAAUCUUUGAUGUUCCAGUUGGACGUCCACAUCAUUGCAAGCGUGGAAAGAUGAUUAAUUUAAGAACGUUUACCAACGGAACACUAAAUUGCAAGUGGUCCCUAAAAAGAGUGGCCAGUGAAAGGGGUAAUUUCAGAAACAUCCCCCAAUAUUUUUAACAAUUUCUCUGAACUCCCUCUCCCUUAAAAAUUAAACAAUUACACAUAUCUCCCUUGGGAUUGAAAAAGACAAUUUAACUCUUAAAUAUUUUAAUAAAAUUCUCUUAUAUGGUAUACAUAUAUUUACAAUGAGUUUCCAAAUUAUUUGUUAAUUAUUUUUCCUUCUUAUUUUCAUCAAUAAAACUGUAGAACUGUC